AAGUGCUGCAGUUCUUCUAGAAUUGUCUAGCAGGUCUUCCGGGUUUUUAACCAGAAACCCUC
ensembl:snRNA U7 U7 small nuclear RNA